GACGAACGCUGGCGGCGUGCCUAACACAUGCAAGUCGAGCGGAGUCGAUCGACGGAAGCCUUCGGGCGGAAGAUGGUUGACUUAGCGGCGGAUGGGUGAGUAACGCGUGGGCAACCUGCCUCGAAGACCGGGAUAACAGCCCGAAAGGGCUGCUAAUACCGGAUGUGGUCAAGGAUCCGCAUGGAUUUUUGAUUAAAGGGGAAACCCGUUUCGAGAUGGGCCCGCGUCCUAUCAGCUAGUUGGUGAGGUAAAAGCUCACCAAGGCGACGACGGGUAGCCGGCCUGAGAGGGUGACCGGCCACACUGGAACUGAGACACGGUCCAGACUCCUACGGGGGGCAGCAGUGGGGAAUCUUCCACAAUGGGCGAAAGCCUGAUGGAGCGACGCCGCGUGAGCGAAGAAGGCCUUCGGGUUGUAAAGCUCUGUCUGGAGGGACGAAGGAAGUGACGGUACCUCCGGAGGAAGCCACGGCUAACACGUG
rnacentral:rRNA from 1 species